rnacentral:rRNA from 1 species
GAUGAACGCUGGCGGCGUGCCUAAUACAUGCAAGUCGAGCGAACAGACGAGGAGCUUGCUCCUCUGACGUUAGCGGCGGACGGGUGAGUAACACGUGGAUAACCUACCUAUAAGACUGGGAUAACUUCGGGAAACCGGAGCUAAUACCGGAUAAUAUAUUGAACCGCAUGGUUCAAUAGUGAAAGACGGUUUUGCUGUCACUUAUAGAUGGAUCCGCGCCGCAUUAGCUCGUUGGUAAGGUAACGGCUUACCAAGGCAACGAUGCGUAGCCGACCUGAGAGGGUGAUCGGCCACACUGGAACUGAGACACGGUCCAGACUCCUACGGGAGGCAGCAGUAGGGAAUCUUCCGCAAAGGGCGAAAGCCUGACGGAGCAACGCCGCGUGAGUGAUGAAGGUCUUCGGAUCGUAAAACUCUGUUAUUAGGGAAGAACAAAUGUGUAAGUAACUAUGCACGUCUUGACGGUACCUAAUCAGAAAGCCACGGCUAACUACGUG